rnacentral:rRNA from 1 species
UAUGUGAUCGUCUCUCGCAUAUCAAUAAGCGGAGGAAAAGAAACUAACAAGGAUUCCCCUAGUAACGGCGAGUGAAGCGGGAAGAGCUCAAAUUUGAAAUCUUAAAGGGUUUCCCUUUACAAAUUGUAGUUUAAAGAAGUGUUUUCUGUUGAGGUUUUGGUAAAAGUUCUUUGGAAUAGGACAUCAUAGAGGGUGAGAAUCCCGUAUUUGACCUUUACUUUCAACUUUGUGAUACACUUUCAAAGAGUCGGAUUGUUUGGGAAUGCAGUCCAAAAUGGGUGGUAAAUUUCAUCUAAAGCUAAAUAUUGGCGAGAGACCGAUAGCGAACAAGUACCGUGAGGGAAAGAUGAAAAGAACUUUGAAAAGAGAGUUAAACAGUACGUGAAAUUGUCAAAAGGGAAGCGUUUGACACCAGUGUUGUUUUUCUGAAAAUCAAUUAAAGAACUGUUUAUGCUAAGCUGUUUAGACUUUAUCAGCUAACUGUUUAGUUUUGAGCUUUUCUUUAAUGCACUUUUAGUUAACAAGUCAACAUCAAUUUCUUUUGCUGUAAAAAAGCUUGAGGAAGGUGGCUUGAGAUUCGUCUUAAGUGUUUAUAGCCUCCUGCCUAUGCAGUCGGAGAGAUUGAGGUCUGCAGCGUAGAUCCUUCGGGGCUAAAUGCAUUUGUGCUAAGUUAUAGCAUUUUAUAGACAACUUGUUGACUAUGAUUUGUCUUGUAGCUUACUCGCUUAUGUUAUUUUACCUACGCUUAGGAUGUUGAGUAGCGACAUACGCAC